rnacentral:rRNA from 1 species
AGCUCAGCAUUGGGCAUAAAGCGUGCGCAGGCGGUUUUGUAAGACAGAGGUGAAAUCCCCAGGCUCAACCUGGGAACUGCCUUUGUGACUGCAAGGCUAGAGUGCGGCAGAGGGGGAUGGAAUUCCGCGUGUAGCAGUGAAAUGCGUAGAUAUGCGGAGGAACACCGAUGGCGAAGGCAAUCCCCUGGGCCUGCACUGACGCUCAUGCACGAAAGCGUGGGGAGCAAACA